rnacentral:rRNA from 1 species
CAACAUGGAACGAGUGGCGGACGGGUGAGUAACACGUGGGUAACCUGCCCUUAAGUGGGGGAUAACAUUUGGAAACAGAUGCUAAUACCGCAUAGAUCCAAGAACCGCAUGGUUCUUGGCUGAAAGAUGGCGUAAGCUAUCGCUUUUGGAUGGACCCGCGGCGUAUUAGCUAGUUGGUGAGGUAAUGGCUCACCAAGGCGAUGAUACGUAGCCGAACUGAGAGGUUGAUCGGCCACAUUGGGACUGAGACACGGCCCAAACUCCUACGGGAGGCAGCAGUAGGGAAUCUUCCACAAUGGACGCAAGUCUGAUGGAGCAACGCCGCGUGAGUGAAGAAGGCUUUCGGGUCGUAAAACUCUGUUGUUGGAGAAGAAUGGUCGGCAGAGUAACUGUUGUCGGCGUGACGGUAUCCAACCAGAAAGCCACGGCUAACUACGUGCCAGCAGCCGCGGUAAUACGUAGGUGGCAAGCGUUAUCCGGAUUUAUUGGGCGUAAAGCGAGCGCAGGCGGUUUUUUAAGUCUGAUGUGAAAGCCCUCGGCUUAACCGAGGAAGCGCAUCGGAAACUGGGAAACUUGAGUGCAGAAGAGGACAGUGGAACUCCAUGUGUAGCGGUGAAAUGCGUAGAUAUAUGGAAGAACACCAGUGGCGAAGGCGGCUGUCUGGUCUGUAACUGACGCUGAGGCUCGAAAGCAUGGGUAGCGAACAGGAUUAGAUACCCUGGUAGUCCAUGCCGUAAACGAUGAAUGCUAGGUGUUGGAGGGUUUCCGCCCUUCAGUGCCGCAGCUAACGCAUUAAGCAUUCCGCCUGGGGAGUACGACCGCAAGGUUGAAACUCAAAGGAAUUGACGGGGGCCCGCACAAGCGGUGGAGCAUGUGGUUUAAUUCGAAGCAACGCGAAGAACCUUACCAGGUCUUGACAUCUUUUGAUCACCUGAGAGAUCAGGUUUCCCCUUCGGGGGCAAAAUGACAGGUGGUGCAUGGUUGUCGUCAGCUCGUGUCGUGAGAUGUUGGGUUAAGUCCCGCAACGAGCGCAACCCUUAUGACUAGUUGCCAGCAUUUAGUUGGGCACUCUAGUAAGACUGCCGGUGACAAACCGGAGGAAGGUGGGGAUGACGUCAAAUCAUCAUGCCCCUUAUGACCUGGGCUACACACGUGCUACAAUGGAUGGUACAACGAGUUGCGAGACCGCGAGGUCAAGCUAAUCUCUUAAAGCCAUUCUCAGUUCGGACUGUAGGCUGCAACUCGCCUACACGAAGUCGGAAUCGCUAGUAAUCGC